rnacentral:rRNA from 1 species
AUUGAACGCUGGCGGCAUGCUUUACACAUGCAAGUCGAACGGUAACAGGCCGCAAGGUGCUGACGAGUGGCGAACGGGUGAGUAAUGCAUCGGAACGUGCCCAGUCGUGGGGGAUAACGCAGCGAAAGCUGCGCUAAUACCGCAUACGAUCUAUGGAUGAAAGCGGGGGACCGAAAGGCCUCGCGCGAUUGGAGCGGCCGAUGUCAGAUUAGGUAGUUGGGGGGGUAAAGGCUCACCAAGCCAACGAUCUGUAGCUGGUCUGAGAGGACGACCAGCCACACUGGGACUGAGACACGGCCCAGACUCCUACGGGAGGCAGCAGUGGGGAAUUUUGGACAAUGGGCGCAAGCCUGAUCCAGCAAUGCCGCGUGCAGGAAGAAGGCCUUCGGGUUGUAAACUGCUUUUGUACGGAACGAAACGGUCCGGGUUAAUACCCUGGGCUAAUGACGGUACCGUAAGAAUAAGCACCGGCUAACUACGUGCCAGCAGCCGCCGUAACAC